UCUGCUGCUGGUGGGAGGCCCAGGAGGCCUACAGCUCAGCUCUAAUGCCUCUCAUCACCAUCCCACAUUGAAAAAUAGCAAAACUGGGGAAAAACGAAGAAGAAUCCUGAGUCUUUCCAUGGACUUUGAACCAAGCUGCAGUGGCUGAAUUUAAUCACCAGGUUUCACAAGUGCCUGUGACAGUUCCCAAAACUGCAUUUCACCCGUUACUGCCUGGAGACAUUCACUGCAGACUCUUGAAGCUUUUCUCAAAGAAACAUCUGCGGGUGUGAGAGUGCAUCGCUGUCGGCACAUGUCUGUAUGGACACACCUGGAAUGGGGAGACAGAAUGAAACAUCACUUUUGAAACACAACAAGACACCCAGCUGAUCACAGGCAUUCUUCUGGAAAACUCCUCCGGGAACUCAUAUGUCUUGUGGCCUCUUUUGCUUUUUGACAGAGCAAACCUAGAGCACAGCUCCUCAUGUUUAAAAUAAACAAGUAAGAAAAAAAAAAAGGUUGUGACAGUGGGGGUUUUGUUAUUAUUUUACAUGGCCUUGUUAUGGAGAAGCCAAAACAAGCACAAACUCUGCUUU